GACGAACGCUGGCGGCGUGCUUAACACAUGCAAGUCGAACGAAGAGCGACGGAAGCUUGCUUCUAUCACUCUUAGUGGCGAACGGGUGAGUAACGCGUAAUCAACCUGCCCUUCAGAGGGGGACAACAGUUGGAAACGACUGCUAAUACCGCAUACGAUCUAACCUCGGCAUCGAGGAUAGAUGAAAGGUGGCCUCUACAUGUAAGCUAUCACUGAAGGAGGGGAUUGCGUCUGAUUAGCUAGUUGGAGGGGUAACGGCCCACCAAGGCGAUGAUCAGUAGCCGGUCUGAGAGGAUGAACGGCCACAGUGGGACUGAGACACGGCCCAGACUCCUACGGGAGGCAGCAGUGGGGAAUCUUCCGCAAUGGACGAAAGUCUGACGGAGCAACGCCGCGUGAGUGAUGACGGCCUUCGGGUUGUAAAGCUCUGUUAAUCGGGACGAAAGGCCUUCUUGCGAAUAGUGAGAAGGAUUGACGGUACCGAAAUAGAAAGCCACGGCUAACUACGUG
rnacentral:rRNA from 1 species